CUCUUGAUGUCCACAUCAGUGUGAGCUUUGGCUAAAAUGCUGACCUCCCCUCCCCUAACAGCAACGGAUGCAUCCCAUACAACUACAAGCUGGAGAGAGAGAAGAUCACCUUAUUAGACAAAUCAUCAUCUUCCAUUAUGACCUGCUUAGCAUGGGUAUCCCUGCCAACAGCACAUAGGAUGUUCCCGCUGUAUGACAAACUGAUAAACAAGAACAUUACCACCAUCAGUGUCAUGUUUCCAGGAUAGAUGAGGACCAUCAAUACCCCUUCCAUUGUAGUUAGAUGCAGAGCUGUCAAAUAUUGAAAUCAAAAUGGUACAAAUAACUAGAGCUCACUCAAGGAGGGUCAAUACUGUUUUAAAGCCCUGGUCCAACAAAACAUAAGUUGUUGCAACUUGUGACAACUUUUGUUUGGCCAGCAAAUUGCUUUGACUUGUGUCCACUUGUGUUGAAUUGCAUCAAAUCUGAACAUGUCUUGAAUGCAAGUUAGCUAACUUGCAAACUAUUUUUUUAUAUACAAGUUUUAAAUGUAUCUUACUGCUCUGUUAAUACCUGAGACAGAAGAUAUUCAGGACCUGUGCUCGGAACAUUGCCACACAUUUCCUAGUAUGGUACUUCCACAGUCGGACCACAGACGGAGUACCGGCCUGGGCGGAGGCCAGCAAACUGGUGCUCCCAUCAAACGCAAGGGCUGACACCUGAAAAGAAGAUAUCUCUCACACCUGACCUUUGAUAAAUCUCUGACAACAACUUUGUGUUCUUUAUCUAUCUCAGAGAACUACAUUAUGCUUGUGUUUCUUUUUAUCUCUUUUUAUCUCUCAGUUGCAUUACUUUCUGUCAGUACUGUAUGCACUUUGCAUCAUAUUUUCUUGCUGCUGCUACAUUGAGUAUUAUAGCACAGGACCUUGUUAACUUGAACUCUUACAAUAGACACAAAUAAGUUCAAAUGGAAUCUAACUGGGAGUUAUCAGAGUUCCAAUAUAUGUCUGGAAGUCCUCCUAUGCAUCACCGUGCAUCCUAAGAGUUCAACAUGACAAUGUCUUCUCACAAGAAGAAAAGCAAAUCCUAAUCUAACCUUAUCGGUGUGGCCAAGAAAAAAUUCCUGUUGCGCUGUGGACACGUCCAUAGUAAUUAUGAUGGCAUGACAUGGGUAAACAAUAUGGCUGCCACUUUUUGUCCACAGGGCCUGUGAAUAGAUCAAUAGGAAGACUUUUAGUUAUUCCCACCAAAUCUUUAAAUCUUUAAAUAACUUAAUUGCCACUAGCGAGCUAAUCCGGCAAUUGGCAGUCAGCGCAGGCUGAUGCGUGAGAACGAUAACGGGCGACAACAUAUACAAAAACAAUGAUAAUACAAUAAAAAUACUAGCACAUAACUUAACGUGACAUGUAAUAGCAAACAAACGAAAAACGUGAUGACCACGAAA